GACGAACGCUGGCGGCGUGCUUAACACAUGCAAGUCGAACGGAAAGGCCCUGCUUUUGUGGGGUGCUCGAGUGGCGAACGGGUGAGUAACACGUGAGUAACCUGCCCUUGACUUUGGGAUAACUUCAGGAAACUGGGGCUAAUACCGGAUAGGAGCUCCUGCUGCAUGGUGGGGGUUGGAAAGUUUUGGCGGUUGGGGUUGGACUCGCGGCUUAUCAGCUUGUUGGUGGGGUAGUGGCUUACCAAGGCUUUGACGGGUAGCCGGCCUGAGAGGGUGACCGGCCACAUUGGGACUGAGAUACGGCCCAGACUCCUACGGGAGGCAGCAGUGGGGAAUAUUGCACAAUGGGCGGAAGCCUGAUGCAGCAACGCCGCGUGCGGGAUGACGGCCUUCGGGUUGUAAACCGCUUUCGCCUGUGACGAAGCGUGAGUGACGGUAAUGGGUAAAGAAGCACCGGCUAACUACGUG
rnacentral:rRNA from 1 species